rnacentral:rRNA from 1 species
UACCGGCGGCUCGAGUGGUGGCCACUUUUAUUGGGCUUAAAGCGUUCGUAGCUGGGUCGUUAAGUCUCUUGGGAAAUCCGGCAGCUCAACUGUCGGGCGUCUAAGAGAUACUGGCGAUCUUGGAACCGGGAGAGGUGAGGGGUACUUCGGGGGUAGGAGUGAAAUCCUGUAAUCCUCGAGGGACCACCUGUGGCGAAGGCGCCUCACCAGAACGGCUUCGACAGUGAGGGACGAAAGCUGGGGGAGCAAACCGGAUUAGAUACCCGGGUAGUCCCAGCCGUAAACGAUGUGCGUUAGGUGUAUCAACGACCACGAGUCGUUGAGGUGCCGAAGGGAAACCGUGAAACGUACCGCCUGGGAAGUACGGUCGCAAGGCUGAAACUUAAAGGAAUUGGCGGGGGAGCACCACAACAGGUGGAGCCUGCGGUUUAAUUGGACUCAACGCCGGGAAGCUCACCGGAUAAGACAGCUGAAUGAUUGCCGGGCUGAAGACUCUGCAUGACUAGCU